UUCCGGUUGAUCCUGCCGGACCUGACUGCUAUCGGAUUGAUACUAAGCCAUGCGAGUCUUUGUAGUAAUACAAGGCAGACGGCUCAGUAACACGUAGUCAACCUACCCUAUGGACAAGAAUAAUCUCGGGAAACUGGGCAUAAUUCUUGAUAGAUCAUAAUGCCUGGAAUGGUUUAUGGUUAAAAUGAUUCGUCGCCAUAGGAUGGGACUGCGGCCUAUCAGCUUGUUGGUGAGGUAAUGGCCCACCAAGGCGAUUACAGGUACGGGCUCUGAGAGGAGAAGCCCGGAGAUGGGUACUGGGACACGGACCCAGGCCCUAUGGGGCGCAGCAGGCGAGAAAACUUUGCAAUGUGCGAAAGCACGACAAGGUUAAUCCGAGUGAUUUCUGCUAAAGAAAUCUUUUGCCAGUCAUAAAACCACUGGUGAAUAAGGGGUGGGCAAGUUCUGGUGUCAGCCGCCGCGGUAAAACCAGCACCUCAAGUGGUCAGGAUGAUUAUUGGGCCUAAAGCAUCCGUAGCCGGCUUUGUUAGUUUUCGGUUAAAUCCAUGUGCUCAACGCAUGGGCUGCCGAAAAUACUGCAUAGCUAGGGAGUGGGAGAGGUAGACGGUACUCAGUAGGAAGGGGUAAAAUCCUUUGAUCUAUUGAUGACCACCUGUGGCGAAGGCGGUCUACCAGAACACGUUCGACGGUGAGGGAUGAAAGCUGGGGGAGCAAACCGGAUUAGAUACCCGGGUAGUCCCAGCUGUAAACGAUGCAGACUCGAUGAUGCAUUGGCAUAAUAGCCAGUGCAGUGUCGCAGGGAAGCCGUUAAGUCUGCCGCCUGGGAAGUACGUACGCAAGUAUGAAACUUAAAGGAAUUGGCGGGGGAGCACCACAAGGGGUGAAGCCUGCGGUUCAAUUGGAUUCAACGCCGGGA
rnacentral:rRNA from 1 species